AUUGAACGCUGGCGGCAGGCCUAACACAUGCAAGUCGAACGAGUGGCGGACGGGUGAGUAAUGUCUGGGAAACUGCCUGAUGGAGGGGGAUAACUACUGGAAACGGUCGCUAAUACCGCAUACCAUCAGAUGUGCCCAGCUGGGAUUAGCUUGUUGGUGGGGUAACGGCUCACCAAGGCGACGAUCCCUAGCUGGUCUGAGAGGAGUACCAGCCACACUGGAACUGAGAAACGGUCCAGACUCCUACGGGAGGAAGCAGUGGGGAAUAUUGAACAAUGGGCGCAAGCCGGAUGCAGCCAUGCCGCGUGUGUGAAGAAGGCUUUCGGGUUGUAAAGCACUUUCAGCGAGGAGGCGUUACUCGCAGAAGAAGCACCGGCUAACUCCGUUCCAGCAGCCGCGGUAAUAC
rnacentral:rRNA from 1 species